CGUCUUUUGCCCACAAAAAUAAAAGAUAAUGCCUGCCCAGUGAAAACUUAAACGGCCGCGUUAGCGUGAGCGUGCUAAGGUAGCGUAAUAAACAGCCCCCUAAUUAGGGGCCAGUGAAAGGCAACACGAAAGCUUCCUCUAUCCUUUGUAUAAAAAAAAUUUUUCAUUUAUGUUAAAAGACAUAAAUAAUAUAGAAAGACGAAAAGACCCCGCGGAGCUUUACUAAAAAUUCUUUUCUUCACAAAGAAAUACACUAUUAGUUUGGUUGGGGCAACCUUGGAGUAAAUAAAACCUCCAAUAUUUCAUCCUUCAAUAUACAAAAUUUUUAAGGAAAAAAAAGAAGUUACCCCGGGGAUAACAGCGUUAUCUAACUAGAGAGUACACAUCGAAAGUUAGGUUUGCGACCUCGAUGUUGGCUUAGGGUAAUCCAUAUAGGCGCAGCAGCCAUAAAAGGACAGUCUGUUCGACUGCCAACCCCCU
rnacentral:rRNA from 1 species